rnacentral:lncRNA from 1 species
AAAAACAUUAUUCAUUAUCUUGUUCGCCAUCCAUACAAGUCCAUCAUUGCAUGGUGCAUAUGUAGAGAACAUUUCUCUAUAUCUGCACAAGUGGUAAGCGCUUCUUGAAUCCAAUAUCCAAUCUAACUUUCCAUCCGCCGAUAAUGCUAGGAGAAUAUCGCUCUGAAUCCUCCAGUCAUCACUGUUGCUAAUGUUGUCUCUGAAGACUGAUUCUGUUCUUUAUAUCUUGGACAACUCCUCUUGAUAUGUCCCUCCUAGUCGCAAUAAAAGCACAUAAAAGUGCGACUUCUUAAUUGUGACCUCGGUCAUCCUCUACCGAUGCCCCUUUGAUGACCUCUUCCCUGACCUCGACCUCUUUCCCUGCUUCCUUCUGAGACUAGGGCUUGCGACUCAUCACUAUUCGUUGUACCUAUCUCUCUCUUCCUUGCCUCUUUAUUGAAUAAGGCAUCUUUGACCGUACUCAUGGUUAACUUUCCAUUCGACGUUGAAUUGCUGAGAGAAAUCACAAAUGUCUCCUAACUUUUUGGCAAGGAAUUCAAAAUCAAUAGGGCCUGCGUCUCAUCCUCGUAUUGUAGGUCAACACUAGUCAACUAAUUGAUCAAAUUCUGGAGCUCACUCAUAUGUUCCGCCACUAAAGUACCACUAUGUAACUUCAGAUUCACUAGCCUCCUCAUCAAGAGCGCUUUGUUCCGUGACGUCUUAGCCUGGUUCAUCGUCUCCAACUUGGUCCAUAACUUAUAAGCACUCGUAUCCUGUGCCAUAUGAUGGAACGUCUCGUGCCCAAUCCAUUGUCUGCUUUGCCCUAAUUAUUUUUUGGUUCAAGCUUCUUUCAUUCCCAUCAUUCAUCUCUUAGUUUAUUCUCUUAUCUCCAUGUCAUACAAAUCCUUAUAGAAUAGAUAUCUUCAUUCAUAUUGAGGGCGUAAUACAUACUUCAUGGCUGAAAGCAAGGAUUAGAUCCCCUAAUUGUUCUUGUGUGGGCCAUCUUAAUUCAACUCCAAUAGAUGCAAAAAAAUCCUUCCUAAAAUUAACCCCAGGGAAUGGAUUGGAUGCUAACAAAUUUUAGAAAGUGCUAAACUGUCAAAAUUAAAAUUUUUUGGUACCAAAUAUCAAAAAUCCAAACUACCGAGACCAACUAUAAUUUUACUAAACUAGAGACCAACUAAUUUUCAACUCAGGAACUAAAUUAUAAUUUUUGGAAACUACACGGACAAAAAUAUAAUUUUUUGAAACUUUAGGGACUAAAAGUGCAAUUAUCCAACCUUAGGAAUAUUCCCAGAAUAUUCCCUCUCAGCUCAGCUCGAUCAACGUCUUGCGGCUUGGUCAACGGCUCGCGUUGGGUCAAAGCUCAAUCAAUCUGCGUGGCUUGGUUGCGCUUGUUGGUGCGUGUGGUGCGUGAGAAUGAUGGCUCACCAAACUUCAGACGGCGUGUGGGGACUGGUUUGAUGUCCGAUCGACUUAGACUUUAUACCGACGGACUCGUCUCGAAGAGGGGAAUCCUGUGGUAUGCUCAAAAUUCAAUUCCGAGCAACUUUGGAUAUAGACUAUGGGGGGGGGGAAAAUCUGCUCCGUUCUUGGCAGAAAUUACUCCGGUGACUCGACCUCGCUCUGGUACCACUGUUGUGUAAAAAUGGACUCAACAUAAGAUAGGGGUCAUCAAAACACCAAACCGUCCGAUGGAAAGACGGUUUUCAAUGCUACAUAGCCAGCUAAAAAGUCUCCAUGGGCUUUUACUUUUGCUGUAAUAACAUUGUGAAGGUGAAUUUUGGUAAAUUCAUACGUCCUCCGUGUUUACUUCGCUUCCUAGUAUUAUCAUCAUCAUUGUCCAAUGUUCGCUGGCCUCAUUGUUGUAUUGAAAUAUUCAUACGGGGAACAUAAAAUAUGGCAAUUGAAGAUCUGCGAAUGAAACCAUUCCAAAAUUGCAAAAUGUACGCACACCCCCCCCCCCAAAAUACUAGCUUAAGGCGGACUACACCAGGCAUUAGGCAACAUUUCACUUCGUGUGCCAAACAAGAGCUACACCGUAAAUCUGAAAUCAAGUACCAAUGACUUGUGGUGGGAAGUGAAGAGGCUGAAUCUGACUUUUUAUAUUUGGAAAGUAGAAGAAACUCUAUGCACCCAUUUUGUCCCCAGCCACAGCAUGUACAUUUAUGUUACAAACGCAAGGAUGGAUGAUACGGUAAAGAUGCAUAACAGAUUCGUUGUCACAUUUGAAGAAUUAAAAUUGAAAAAUAAGUAGAACAAUAAUUCCCAAGCAUCGAACAAAAGAGACAUAAUUUUCGAAGAAACAGAGAAGCUUGUUUUCAAUGAAACGUUGCCUAACCCAACAAACAGAUUCAGCUUCAGAUUGGGGACAGAGGACCUAAGUGUUAUAUAGCUCUUUCCAUAUCACAUACUUAUGCCAAAGGCUUUAAGUGGCCGAAUUGAAUGUUGAAACCACACAUAAAUCAGUAUAUUUAACAUAAUACCCAAUACUUUAAUCUGCUUUCGACUAUGACAGCUCAAAUUAAAUGCAAAGAGUAUUCAACAGGUUGAAAAGCCCACAUGAAUGAUACAGAAUAUAUUGCACUAAUUGUGAAUCUGCAAACGGUGCAAUUAAAUUAGAUAGCAGAAAUAGAAAUCAUCCGGGAAUAGGAAUCUCGUUAAGUCAUCCUCAUAAGGUUUGCAAAGAAAUAAAGGAACAUAAAUAACUGAAAAUUUCCACUUUUGUCUGGGCUAGCACGCACCAACAUGUCCGCACACUUGCUUUCUCUCUGUAGACAUGUUUAAUUGUAUCUAUUCGCAAUCUUGAAUUAGGUUGUUAAGCUGGAUAAUUGCCCGUGCGUCCGCCUCCACUUCAAUGGGGAUCAAAAGCAUAGAGUCAUAGACCAUGCCAUGAUCCAUGAUGAGACCCUCUCUGAGGGCUGUAAGCUCAGUUUCCAUACUACUGACUUGGCCAAUUGUUCGAUGAAAUCCUGUGACACAAGUUCCAUUGUGAACGCGGAUAAUGCUACCACCGGACUCUAUUGGGGGUUUGACUUUACUGUACCAUCCGUGUUAAGUUUAAAAAAGUUAAGUUAGGGGGGAAUUUCCAUGAUUUUUGUUAUGCGCAGAACCAAAACAAAAACCACACACUCAUACAAAGAGACACAUAUAUUUAUGUGAUUCGACAAUUUGCUUACAUCCUCGGAUUGUAGCAAUUUCAGUAUUAGAGAAAGAAAAAUAUAGAUUUACGGUUUCUCUCUAUCUCAAGCUCUCUGAUCUCUCUCUUUUCUCUCACUCUUCCCUUGGUGGUCUGGUGGUGGCAAAGCAACCGCCACCUCCCUCAUACUCUCUCUACCUUUGAUCUACAUCUUUUUUUUCCCCACACAUUAUACACAACCAUUGAAGCUGUAUAUAUAGGCCUAGAACUACACACUUUUUGAGAAAAAUAACUCAGAAAGUUAAAGCCAUCAUUGGGAGUCCAACAAUUUUUGGGUACCUAACGGUUCUCUUUCACUUCACUUGUCCAUUCUUAUCAAAUCCUGCUAAACCAUGUCAUUCCCUAGCAUAAUCUUCCCAAAU